GGGCCUGUAGCUCAACGGUUAGAGCAGCAGACUCAUAAUCUGUUGGUUGUAGGUUCGAAUCCUACCGGGCCCACCA
rnacentral:tRNA from 2 species